rnacentral:rRNA from 1 species
AUGGAGCAAUUGGAGAAGAGGAUGGAUGUUGUAGAACAACAAAUCAAAGAGUUGCGUGAAGAUCUUAACCGAAGAUUUGACCAGCUGGUUGAGAUGAUAAGAAAGGUUGCCCCCCUAUUGCCAAUGGAGAUUCAUCUAAAGAAGAAGGAGAUGCUCAACAAAGAAGAAGGAGAGGUAAUCUUGGAGCAAGACCGCCACAUCAACGUGUUGUUCAACAUACUUCAAGAAGACCAAUUUAUGUUGAAGUUUCUAAAGGUGAAGAAUAUGAUGAUGCCCUUGAAGAACCUAAUCUCUAUGCUUACCAAAGAGUACCCAACCCUACAUAGCCAAGGGACACAUACAAGGUGA